GGAAUCUUCCACAAUGGACGAAAGUCUGAUGGAGCAACGCCGCGUGAGUGAAGAAGGGUUUCGGCUCGUAAAACUCUGUUGUUAAAGAAGAACAUAUCUGAGAGUAACUGUUCAGGUAUUGACGGUAUUUAACCAGAAAGCCACGGCUAACUACGUGCCNG
rnacentral:rRNA from 1 species